AGCAGCCGCGGUAAUUCCAGCUCCAAUAGCGUAUAUUAAAGUUGUUGCAGUUAAAAAGCUCGUAGUUGAAUUUCGGGAUUGACACAUCGGUCGUGCCUUAAGGGGUAUGAACUGGUGUAGUCAAUUUCUCACCUUCUGGAGAACCGCGAUGCCCUUAAUUGGGUGUCGCGGGGAACCAGGACCUUUACUUUGAAAAAAUUAGAGUGUUUAAAGCAGGCAUUUUGCUUGAAUACAUUAGCAUGGAAUAAUAAAAUAGGACGGCAUGAUUCUAUUUUGUUGGUUUCUAGGAUCACCGUAAUGAUUAAUAGGGAUAGUUGGGGGCAUUAGUAUUCAAUUGUCAGAGGUGAAAUUCUUGGAUUUAUUGAAGACUAACUACUGCGAAAGCAUUUGCCAAGGAUGUUUUCAUUAAUCAAGAACGAAAGUUAGGGGAUCGAAGACGAUCAGAUACCGUCGUAGUCUUAACCAUAAACUAUGCCGACUAGGAAUCAGACGAUGUAAUUUUUAAUGACUCGUUUGGCAC
rnacentral:rRNA from 1 species